rnacentral:lncRNA from 1 species
CGGCACUCUGGGAACGGGUCCUCCGGCCUUUCCUCCGCGCGGGUACCUACCUGCCCGGCCGCGCCUCGCGCUCUCGCAGCUCGGGUCCUCGCCCGGGGGAGGUCCCAGAGCUUUCGGGGUCGGGCGCGCCAGACGCUGCGCACAGCUGGGCCAGAGCGCUGGGGGGCGGGGCUCAGCGCGCGCGGGGCGCGGCAGCUGGGAAUUUCCGAGCCCGGGGCGCGCGCCGGGCCCCGCGGUCACCGUGGGCAGGUGGGGUGAGCCCCGUCAGGCGCAGGUGCUCGGUGCCCGCGGGGCUGCCUGCAGCUCGUCCCCGUGAAAACCCCGCUCCCUGCAGCGGGAGGGCGAAGCGCGUUCCUAACGUUGACGGGAGGCGAGUCUGCGGGGGAGCCGCAAAGACCAGGCGCAGAUGGAGGAGUCUGGACUGCCAGGACCUGGCUUGUUGGGCUGCAGGAACUUCCUUCACUGAGAGACCCCUGGGAGCCUUGAUUACUGGCCGAGCUGAGGAACCUGGAAGCCUUGCAAGAGCUGAUUCCAGCAUGCUGACCAUGGUGUCCUCAGCAAGAGACACCUGCAGAAACCCCGACUACAGAAAAUCAAAGCAACUUUACCCCUAA